UGCGGUUCUGGACCUGCCGACAGAGCAGGGAGGCGUGUUGGUGUGCGCAGCAGCAACAGAAACAAACAGAAACAGAAGCAGAGCAAACAUGGAGGAGCGGCUGUUGAUGUGCAAACAGCGCACUGCAGCCCCAGAUAUCCUGGUUGGGCAGAUUUACAGUCGGCAGUAAGACGCAACGCGACGGUAAACAUGACCUCCAUCUGAGGCGAACCAGAGGCCAGUCGUGAGGUCACAGCAGAGACCCGCAGCAGCAGCCGUAACUUGAGCCGCGUCCCAUCAGCCACUGCGGCCAACGGCACCUUACUGGGAGGAAGCAACAUGAACUGGUUCCAGUGGCGGCGGACCCGACACACCUGCAGAACCUGGUCUGACGUCAAAGUGAGAAUAUUUAACGUUGCUUCAGACAUUCCAGUCUCAGCGGGGAGCGAGGCAUUUCCACGGCCUGGGGCAACACUUUCAUCCAACACGCCUCUUUCACUUCACUACUGCAAAAAUCUAACAGUUUUCUAACAUUUUCAAACUUUCCCAGCAGCAGGUUGACUUUUUCAGUUAAUUUCUAAUCACCAGUUUCAAUAUAAUAGUUUUUUUUACUGAUGGUAAUAUCUUCUGAUAGUAUUUUACAUCCUGCAGCUGGAACAAAUAAACUAAAAAUGGUUCCAUUUUGCAAUAAUGUUUCCCUUGUAGAUGGCCAAUAGCUUUUAGAUAUGUUACCACUUUAUAAAUCAUUAAUAACCGUUUAUUAUGCAUUAAUUAGAAGAGGAGAAAAUCACAGUUUACCAAAUAGUUUGUUUAGAUAUUUUAUUUAGAGUUGUUAUUCUACCUUGUAAACACAUGAAGCAUUUGUAAAUGUAAUUUUUUAUCAUGUAAUUUAAUUUUCACCCUUAAGACAUAAUAAGUAAUUAAUGAUUUAUAAAGAGUGUAAUAGUUAAUAGCCAUGUUAUCAAUUCAUCUAUAGUCGUUGAUAAGUUGUGAAGUGGAACCAUAAAAAUGAAUUUUUAGACGCCUCAGACUGCAUCAUUAUUGGGAAAAAAAUAAAAGUGUCUUCAGUCAGAGGCUUCUUCAAAUGUGUUGUAAUCCAGACUGCUACAGGAGAUCUUUCCUGCCCACAGCCAUCACCAUCUAGAGCGAGGCAUUAACUCUAAAAGAGUUGCAUUUAAUCCCUUUUGGGAUCAAUAAAGUACUUUUGAAUUUGA